AGAGAGCGAAAGAGAGAGAGAAAGCACAGUCGAAACAUAGAGAGAGGGAGAUAGCGAAAGUGAGCUAGAGAGAGUGGUGAUUCCGUUUUGCUGUGAGGAGGAAGAAGAUCUGCUUCUUGGAUAGCUCUACCGUCUACCUUUUGGGGGUAUUGUUCGGUUUUGCUGUGAGGAGAUGAGGGAUUUGGGUAUAGGGUUGUGAUCGAUACUUAGUUUUUGGGAUUCAUGGCUACUAAUUAUUCGCUGUUAGAGAUGAAUUUUAGCCCUGGAUAAAGGCUUGAUAGAGGUUGGCUUUAUGUUUGAUGAGAGCUCAUCAAACCUUUUUCUGUUUGGGAUUUUGUUGAAACAAAGAAAAGAAAAGAAGAAGAACAAGAAGAGGAAGAAGAAAAGGGAAAUCGAGUAAAUUGAUCAUCCCAGGGAUUUCCAUAAGCAUACCAAAAGAAGCAGCUAAUACAGUUCGAGAAGAAUCUUAGAACUUAGAAAAGAGCACAUCAGUUGAUAGCAGAAAAGGUAACAGUAGCUAAACCAGUAGGAAUGUAUAAAACAGUGCUUACAGACUUAAUGAUAUUACUAUUUGCUGAUACCUUUUUGCCAUGUGCAUACUAUUUGGAUCAAUCUUUUAUUUUUGGAUCAAUCCGAGCACAAACUAUUUGGUUUUGUAUUCGCUUAAUUUCUGUUUUCGAUGUAAAUGUAGGUCAUGCUUCUUAUCAGAAUUGGUCUAAUCUAUGGGAUUUGGUCAAUUUCAGUGGGUGGUUCUUUUAUUUUUUUUGGGUUUUGUCUUAUUGCAUGUGAUUAUGUGAAAUUUGUUCAUAGUUUCUUUUAGUGUUGUUCGUGUUUUUAGUUGGUAGCCUAGCAUCUACCUAUUAAUAGUUUUAUACUGUGCUAACAAUUGAAAGUUGGAACCUUUUUAAUUAUUAAAUCAAAUGAAAGUCAUUCUGGUGUCUGUUAUCUAAUGUACUUGAUUGGCAUCAAAUUUUUGGACAAUUAGAUUAGUUUGUUCCAAACAA